GAUGAACGCUGGCGGCGUGCCUAAUACAUGCAAGUCGAGCGAACAGACGAGGAGCUUGCUCCUCUGACGUUAGCGGCGGACGGGUGAGUAACACGUGGAUAACCUACCUAUAAGACUGGGAUAACUUCGGGACACCGGCGCUAAUACCGGAUAAUAUAUUGAACCGCAUGGUUCAAUAGUGAAAGACGGUUUUGCUGUCACUUAUAGAUGGAUCCGCGCCGCAUUAGCUAGUUGGUAAGGUAACGGCUUACCAAGGCGACGAUGCGUAGCCGACCUGAGAGGGUGAUCGGCCACACUGGAACUGAGACACGGUCCAGACUCCUACGGGAGGCAGCAGUAGGGAAUCUUCCGCAAUGGGCGAAAGCCUGACGGAGCAACGCCGCGUGAGUGAUGAAGGUCUUCGGAUCGUAAAACUCUGUUAUUAGGGAAGAACAAAUGUGUAAGUAACUAUGCACGUCUUGACGGUACAUAAUCAGAAAGCCACGGCUAACUACGUG
rnacentral:rRNA from 1 species